rnacentral:lncRNA from 1 species
AAUUGCUGGGCUGCCUCUCCAGCUUCCAAGCUGGAGUUUUAGAGGACUAAAUACAAGCGGUCACAACAACAUCGGUACUCUCUGCUUUCUGACUGUGGAUCCAAUAUGACUAGCAGCCUUCUACUCCUGCCUCCAUGGCUUCUCUAUCAUGGUGACCUGUACCUGCAAACUAGGACCUAGAAGAAUCCCUUCCCUAAGUGGCAUCUUGUCAGGCUCCAGUGAACACCCCAAACUUGGAUCUCCACCAAUGCAUGGAACUGAGAAAGAACCCGAACAAAACCUAAGAACCAGACGGAUUGUGGUCAUCCGUCAGCAGUGGUCAUUUUGUAAUUGUGGGAAUAAUCAAUGCAUAUUCCAUGAAAGCAGAGUGUGGGAGGUACCUGUAGGGAGGCAGUACUACAGCAGGUCAUCAAUUAUGGAAAGGGCUGAUGAACGCUAACAGCGCUUCCCACUCCCCCAGCUGAAACUAUAGAGGGUCAGAAGCCCCAAACUGCUGAGCUCUGCACACAGUGGGAGGAGUGGCGUCGGGAGGGGAAGCAGAGAAUGGCUCGCCAAGAGACCCUGGCUUCUAACAACCAGCUCAAGAGAAGUUCCUAGUGAUUAAAUUAAUAAACUGAGCUCAACAAAUUGA